AAGUCGUAACAAGGUUUCCGUAGGUGAACCUGCGGAAGGAUCAUCAUUGUUAUUGGGGUCAUGGUGGGGGGCUUGCUCCAUUUUUUUGAAUCCCAGCAAAAACAGACAGCAGCUCGGGAUGGCUGAGGUGCGCAGGCAAAUGAGAGACAGGCAAAAAAGGCAGAAACAACUUUCAACAACGGAUCACUUGGCUCUCA
rnacentral:misc_RNA from 1 species